AGAUGCCCAAGAACAGAAUGAACACAGAGUGCCCAUCAGCACUAGUCCUCUCCCCUGGGAACACUACAAACUGCAGGCACUGGGCUUAGUUUAAAUAAUCCUUCGUCAUAUUGGAGAAUGAAGACGGGAACCUGAAGGAGUCGUUCCGUGGUUUUGGAAAUGAUCGACCAUUAUUGAAUUCGUUCAAAUGCUUCCUGACCCACUGAGUUCCUCUGGCAGCUUGGCUUAUUUUUGCUUUGGAUUCCAGCGUCUACAGUUUCUUAUGUCUCUCUGAAUAGGCAAUCAAUGGGACUGUGCUGAACAGAUGAGCUCCCGUUCUUGAAACUCAUCGGCCGACGUUCUCCAGGUGUGGCCUGGAAGAUGGUGCCUCCAGGGUGCGGCCCUGUGGACAACCGAUUCCAGGCUGGUGUUGCCAAACCGAGGCAUCAUGGGAAAAGGAACAUCAAAAUUUCGCUGCAGCGGACGUAUGGGUGGAGAUCUCGGUCGUUGAGCGGAUGCAUUUUCUCUGUCUUUCUCUUGAUAGGGGGAGAGUUUGCUGCCAAUUCUCGCAUCGGACCUCUUCCUCCCAUCUGCAGACAACGAAAAACACUAUUGUUUACCUGACAGUUCAACAUGUCAUGGAGUCUGUCCCUCACUAACAAGGACAGAGAGAUAGCGCCCAUUAUAUGAAUUGAUGGAUUUUUAAUAUGACCAACCACUCCCUGGCUUUAACAGUGUUGUUCCCUUUCUCCUAUGAUCCAUUCUCUCCUAUCAGACGCCUUCUUAUUCAGCCCUCUAUCCUCUGCAUUCACUUCACUUCACUUAUCACCUUCCAGCUAUCUUCCCUCCCCUCUCCCCACCUUUUCGUUCUGGCAUCUCCCCCCUUCCUUUCCAGUAAUGUGAACAGUCAACGGAGAGAGAGAAUGAAGUUAUUGGAUACAGAAGUAGUCUAUUCAGCAAAAACGAGCAGCCGGCAUCAUAUUGACACCCUUUCGGAGGAAUAGCCCCUUUCAACCCAAUAUUACAUGACAUUUUAUAUGACAAAGAUCAGAGGAUAAUUCUAAAUUUACAGUGUAUCUACAAUGUUUCCUUUGAAUAACAUCCAACUUUCACGCCUCCUUUUACAUAUCCACUGUCCAGACACCCAAAAUAAAUAUUAAUCAGCAUUGUCUGGUUUUUCAAUUAACAGCUGUUCACAGCUCUAGGAAUCUGUUGUUCAGGGCUGCAUUUAAAUGUAAUAUGCAGUCCACUUCCAGUGCUAAAGAUUGGUUGCUGGUUAGUUGCUGAAGUUUUGCUAUAUAACCUAAGUCUAGAAUAUGUCCUAACAAACAGUAUUUACCAAAAUUUGCAGAGGUGGUUUAUGAAAAGCUCUUGAAUAACCCAUAAACUUUUGUUGGAGUCCUUGGGUCUUGUGUAUCAGUUUGUAUAGUCUUUGUUUCUGUUUCUGCUUGGUACUGCGCAAGCACUGCCAGACGGCUGUUAUAACGCACAGUCGGUGUGAACGGCGUGGGAGUUCAAUUGUAAAGUAAACUUUUUUGACUAGAUCCCCUAAAUCGAUUUGAUUGUGUCUAUCUUUAAAAAUAUUAAUGUCAGAAAUACUGCGC